UACGGGGGGGGUAAGCGUUGUUCGGAAUUACUGGGCGUAAAGGGCUCGUAGGCGGCCAACUAAGUCAGACGUGAAAUCCCUCAGCUUAACUGGGGAACUGCGUCUGAUACUGGAUGGCUUGGAUUCGGGAGAGGAAUGCGGAAUUCCAGGUGUAGCGGUGAAAUGCGUAGAUAUCUGGAGGAACACCGGUGGCGAAGGCGGCAUCCUGGACCACACAGUACGCUGAGUGAGCGAAAGCCAGGGGAGCAAACGGGG
rnacentral:rRNA from 1 species